rnacentral:rRNA from 1 species
AAUGAACGUUGGCGGCGUGGAUUAGGCAUGCAAGUCGAACGAGAUCUGUAGCAAUACAGUGAAAGUGGCGAAAGGGAGAGUAAUACGUAGGUACCUGCCCUCGGGUCUGGGAUAGCUGCGGGAAACUGCAAUUAAUACCGGAUGAUGUCUCUGGACCAAAGGUGUGAUUCCGCCAGGGGAUGGGCCUGCGUCCUAUCAGCUUUUUGGUGUGGUAACGGCGCACCAAGGCUAAGACGGGUACGGGUGUGAGAGCAUGCCCCCGCUCACUGGGACUGAGAUACUGCCCAGACACCUACGGGUGGCUGCAGUCGAGAAUCUUCCGCAAUGGGCGCAAGCCUGACGGAGCGACGCCGCGUGUGGGAUGAAGGCCUUCGGGUUGUAAACCACUGUCAGUGGGGAGCAAAUGCAUCAGGGUUCUCCCUGGUGUUUGAGCGAUCCGCAGAGGAAGCACAGGCUAAUUCCGUGCCAGCAGCCGCCGUAAAAC